rnacentral:rRNA from 1 species
UACGGAGGGUGCAAGCGUUAUCCGGAUUCACUGGGUUUAAAGGGUGCGUAGGCGGUUUGUCGCGUCUGCUGUGAAAACUCGGGGCUUAACUCCGGGCCUGCAGUGGGUACGGGCAGACUAGAGUGCGGUAGGGGAGACUGGAAUUCCUGGUGUAGCGGUGAAAUGCGCAGAUAUCAGGAGGAACACCGGUGGCGAAGGCGGGUCUCUGGGCCGUAACUGACGCUGAGGAGCGAAAGCGUGGGGAGCGAACAGG